UGCGAUAGGGGAAGAAAAAGCUAGAAGAAGCUGCCCUCUUGGCAGCUUGAAACCGAGCGUGUCAACAGCAGAGAAGGUGAGGACGGAGAGAAGUACAAAGCAAGGCUGCCAUUUGGCAGCUGAACCAAGAGGGACGCUGCCUUGCGCAGCCCGAGGCCAGAAGUCAGGAGGAGAGCUGCUUGGGCAGCUCGUGGAGAAGUCAGGAGAAAUAAGGUGCUGCCUUGGCAGCACGUGGCGCAGACUGGGGAACGAAGGAUUGAGAGAGGAAGGCUGCUGUGCAGUCUUGAGGACUGUCAGGCAGCUGGAGAGGUGAGGACCGAGAGACAGGGAGGUCAGAAAAAGCACGUGGCGCGAGGCACGGACAGACAGCAAACUCCCUCAUUUUUCGAUUUAAUCUUUCCAAACUUCUCUUUUAUUUAUGUUUUAAUAAUGUGUAAAUAAACUUAUUUUGGCUAGAGGUUAAUUCAAAGCCAUGAAUAUAUUUGUAAUAUGAAUUGAUUACCUUCAGUUGUGAUUUCUGAGUUGUGAUUUAAUUUGCUUAACUGCUUGAUUGAUAACUUAUUUUUGUAUGUCGAUUAAGAAUGCAUGCUUAAUUUACAUGCAUGAAUUUGAUGCUAGAAUAUAAGUGAAUUUCACCUAAUCGUUAUGAACUUAUAUUCACAAGUAGUGGAGGUCGCUUAUAAACGAUCGCGUUAAGUAAAUUCUAGGCUGGAUUAACAUGCGUAUUCCAUAGUUAUGAAUGCCUAGUCAAUGUUUAUGUUUUUCAUAGAACUUAAUGAUUCUUCUUGCUUGUUCUCUAUUAUGCAAUUCAUGUAGGGAAUUUGUAGGAAAUGUUUUGGGUUGUCGUAUGCAAUCAUCCAACCCAAUAACUUGUGGAAAAUCUAAGAGUUAAUUUAAGCGGACCUAAUUAACUUGGAACAUUGUGAUUUACAAUUUAUUGAAAGAACAACUGAAAAUCAAUUUAGGUUGCAUAUAUGUCAUGUGUGGAGAAGAACCCUCUAGCUAGUCCGUCAUUUAUCAUUUUACCUUAAUUUUAUGUUUUUGUCAAUUCUGUAAUUUAAUUAAGUUUAAUUUACUUCUCAUCAAAACCAAACACCCAUCCAUUAUUAAAUUAUAUUUUUUUAGUUAGUUUUCUUUAUUGUUAGUCUUUUAAUUUAAUUUCUAAGAGGUUUUAGCAAGCCCUCCUAAUCCCCGGCCUAGAACGAUACCCUACUUAUACUUAUACUACAAUUGUCAAAAGAGGGUUUAAUUUGUGUGUCAAGUAAUUCUCGCACCAAAUUUUGGCGCCGUUGCCGGGGAUUAGCAACUUUGCUAAUCCCUUUAUUUUUGUUUUUUUUUUGUUUAUGUUUAUAUUGGUGUUUGUGUAUUUUACUUUUGAUAUUUGAUUUAUUUUUCUUUCUUUGAUUUUAGGUACAAAUGGAGCGAGACAUGGCACUUGCGACCAUUCAAGCUCAAUUGGCACAACUCACUGCUCAAUUGACUCAUAAUGCCGAACGAACCACAAUGUCAAGUGUCCCUACACUUGAUGUGCCCUAUGGGCAAGGAUAUCAAAGUCCUCAAUUUUCUGCAAAUGAAGAUGUUUGGGGAUAUCAAGGCUAUAACCAAUCAAGGGGCAACAUGUUUUCCAACGCUUGCAAUUCAGAUUGGAGAGGUAAUUCAGAUUAUAUGUGGGAUGAACCUCAACAAUUUCAACAAGGUGGAUAUUGGCAGCAAGACGAGUUCUAUUCAAGACCUAUGCAGCCACCACAGCAUCCCCCACAACAAUUCCAAUCAAAUCAAAAUAUGCCCAUGAAUUAUAAUGAAAUUCUGGAAGGACUAAUUUCUGUGGCGCAGGGUUUACGAAAAGAAGAACAAUUGCCGCCAUCGGAAGAGUUCUAUCAGUGGCCAUAUGAACCAUCACAGCCACCACAACAAUCAACCCAAUUCAAUUCAGGUACAUCCUUGGAUAAUGAUACACUGAAUAAUUUACUCGCCUCUUUGAAUCAGGGAGUAGAAAAUCAAAACCAGGAGAUGCAAGACCGAGUCAAAAGAGUAGACGAAUUGGAUAUGCAUGUUGGGCAAAUUAUGGAAUUCAUGGCACAGAUUCAAGAGCAAAGUGAAGUCUCCAACUCAACUCUUGAAAAUUCAAAGGCAGAAGUUGAAAUCGAUGAAGCCAUCACCUUGGAAGGUGACAGGGAGGAUGAAGCUGUCCCAGAACCAUCCACACACAGCCCGAACUUGGAUGAAUUGCUGCUGCAAGCAGAAGGGGAGGAGGACGACCUGGGCAGUUUAGAAGAAUUCUUGCUGCAAGCUCCUCAAAUCCCUAUGUCAUCCAACUCAGGUGAGGAAGUUCCCAUUUCAUUUCAUUCUAAUGAUAUUCCUAUUCUUGGUGCAACAAAGCAGGUCCUAGAUCGUGUUGAAUAUUUCAAAGGCCUUUGUUUCCCAAGAAAAAUGAUUCAAGAGAAUGAAGUGGUGGAAGCAUGUCAAGAAUACAUCCAAGGGGCUGUGCAUGAGACAAUCAAGCCCAAAGCCGUUGAGUUUGAUGACCCGGGACAAGCCACAACCAUCAUAGUAAAUCUGGCCAAGUUCAAAGUCCCGGAAAUGUUCAAAAAUGUGGUGUUUAUCAUUGAGUUUGUGUCGAACAAUGCAAGUAAGCCAUAUUCUCCAAUUUUAAUUUUAAUUUUUACUAACAUGUUUCUAAUUUUGAUGAUUCAGGCACCCACUCGUGAAUUCAGACCAUUGCCGAAUCAUUUCAAGUAUCACCUCCCAUUAAAAGAUAAAUUCCAUGCUUUGGAGCCGAGGGGGGUUUAAAGGAAAGAUUCGUCCGGCUAAAGACGUUAAAUCAAGCGCUUCUUGGGAGGCAACCCAAACAUUCAACGAAGGGAGACUUUGAAAUUGCUCAACAAAUCUUUUUCCGAUCAGAUUUGCAUUCCUAAGCCCUUCUCUUUACUGCAUUUAUUUUACCUUGUUUAAGUUCAUUAACUAUUAGUUUACUUGCGUGUGAAUCUUGUUUAGGGUAGAUAAAGUCUCUUUACAUUAAUUUACAUAUAUAAAAAAAAAAUAUACAAAAAUAAAAAAUAAAAAUAAAAAAUAAAAAAAUAAAAAAAUAAAAAAAAACAUAAAAGUACAAAUAUUUUACAAUGAUGUAAACUAAUAGCAUUCAUUGGUCAGGUGGUGCUUCAGUAGUCGGCAGGGCUUCAGUAGUCGGCGGGGCCACAGAAGGAGGAGGCAGCAGAGGUUGAUCAGUUGGAGUUUCACUACGCGGUGCCGCUCCUGAAGACGAAGGCAGAUGCGGUUGGAACAAACCCACAAACCUCCGAUGAUCAAGUAAAAUUUGACCAUCGGUGUCCUGCAUCUGGUCAAUCUUCCUCUUCAUGCUGGUGGCAUAGCUGUGUGCGAGCUUGUGCAAUUCCUUAUUCUCAUGCUUGAGCCCUUUAAUCUCUUGCUUGAGACUCUGUAUUUCAGCCACCAAGGAUUCAACGUGACGGGUUCGGGCAUAUAGGCGUUGGGCCAUGUUGGAUACGGAACCCGCACACUGCACACUGAGAGCCAGAGACUCCUUAACCGCCAAUUCAUCGGACCGUCUAGCGAGCAGUCUGUUAUCUCUGGGAGUGACAAGGUUUCGGGCCACCACCGCAGCGGUCAUGUCAUUUUUUAUCACCGAAUCCCCCACGGUAAGAGGACCGGUAGGGGAUAUGAAGGUUGGCCGCCAUAUGUUGUCUGGUGAAGGCGGAGCUGCCUCUUCACCACGGUUCAAGUCAAAACGGCGAUCGGAAGGGCCAGACAUUUUCUGAAAGUGUUGAGAAAGAAGAGAUCAGACAGAUUAAGAUUUCGGAAGUGCAAGAAGGGAGUGUUUACAAGAGGGAGCUCAAGUGUGUUGUGGAACAAAAUUAACGCCUCUAUAAAAAGAAGAAUUCAAAGAGGCGCUCCUCAGAAAUUGAAGAGGCGUCCUCUCGCAAAUCGAAGAGUCGGGCACCUUUCUCAAAAGCCGGAUUCUUUUCUCAAAAGAGGAGUUUCCGUUCUCAAAAAACUGGAUUCUUUUCUCAAAAGAGGCGUUCAUUUCUUAAAAGUUGGGCUUGCUCAGAAACCACGAGCCGAACCCCGGAUUUCGCAAGAUCAAUUCGUCCAGACGUGUUGUCACCCGUCACACGCAAACUCAGCUCUGCGAAAAUCACGGGCAGUCUGUCGAAGUGCCGAUUCCAACCAUCUGUCUCUCUCAGCCUAGUCAGCAUUUGUCACAUGCAACUGGCAGCUUUGCGGAAAUUACGGGCAGCUUUGUCAGAAAGCGCGUAAUUUGUAUUCUUCACCCAUCCACCGGCUGCCGACACUAAGUGAAAGAACAGUUCCGGUUGUGAAGACAAGUCCUAUAAGUUUCUACCUUCGCCUUCCACAGCAAAAGCACACUCUCUCAGCACACCCUCUCAACACCUCUUCAUCUCCGAAAAUGCAUUCCCAAAGAAUCCUCUCGAGUCACUCUGUGUUCCUCAUUCCUUGGGAUACUCCUGCGAACAACCCAUUCAAAGCAAAAGUAUUUCAUAUCAUAAAGGUUGAAAGCAAGAGUAUCUCAUAUCAUGCUUUCUCCAUGUCCUUCUCCUUGUCUUUGUUUUCCGACAAGGAGAAAGAGAGCAAUCAGCCAGCAUUUGGUAUCAAUCUUCCGAUCUGGAGUCAACUGCCUGGAACCCCUUCCUGAUUGCUUACCUAGCCUUGCUCUCGAGUACUCAUCUUCAUCAUUUUAUGCUUUCUCUUCGUCUACCACAUCUGCCUGGGGGACAGUAAGGGAAGUGAAAAUGAUACCUCGAAGCAUGUGGAGACAAUUCAGCUAGGGACAAGGAGAAAGAAAGCAAGAGGUGGGCACUUGGAAAGAUUGAAGAAAGAAAUAAGGACCAACACCUUUCCCUCGUGCCUGCCCGUUGUGCAGAAGAAACAAGCAGAGAAGAAUGCAGCUUGCACAAUCAUCCCAGCGGAAGGAGUCCGAACUGAGGAACUAGAGAAGCUGCCACAUCUGCUUGGAGAACAAAUAAGGAACUGCAACAUAACCAAAGAGCAAAGCUUCGCCGUACAAUAUCAUAAAAUCAUCACUUGCAAGUGAAAAGCUAAGUGUCACCCUGUUCAAGAGGAAAGCUGUGGAAAGUCAACAAGCACGACCAAUGAUCACCUAUUAGUUCUAUUCAUUAUCUUUUAUUUUCAUUUUCAAUUUUUCGUUUGCAUUUUUCUACAUUUUCUUGUGUCCUUAACUGAAUUAUUUCUUUUCUUUGCAGGAACUUUUGGUUAUUUCCACCCUUGAAGUUGAUUGCAGAAUUUUAGCUUGGGGGGUCAUCGCUUGAUUUUACUGCAAAUUAGGGAAGUUUUCAGUCCAAUUUUUUUAUUUUGUUUUUUAUUAUUUUGUUUAUUUUUCUUUAUUUUUGCAUUAUAGUGUUUUCUGACAUUGGGGACAAUGUCCAGUUUAAGUAUGGGGGUAAAGGGUAAAAAUGACCAAAUUGAAUUUUUUUUGUACCUUCAACUUCGAACUGGUUUCAUUUGUUUCUGUGUUGUUGUUUUUUUAUUUUUUUAGUUUUGUUUUCUCUAUAAAAAAAAAAAAAUCGGAAAAUUUAAAAAUCCAAAAAUAUUGUUUUGUUUUCCUUAUUGUUUUGAAUUAGAUUUUUGUUAGUUUCCCGACCCAAUGAUAUAAUUGGAUAAAAUUUGAACCAUGAUCAUCAAGAACUUAGUUAACAUGUGUUUUGUGAAAUUCCUAAUUCUCGUAUUAGUUUUGUACAUGUUUGAUCAUCUUUGAAAAACCAAAUGCACAUAGCCUUGUUGAUGUGAAACUAAAGCAUGACUUAAAGCUUCAUAUGUGAAUUUAGUGACCAUAUACAUCCUAUGUGAGUUUUUGAGCCUAUUGAAAGUGUGUGCAUUUUUCAUACACUCCUAUUCUUUCAUGUGUGAUGAACUUAUGUGAGAUACAUCUCUAGAACUUGCGUAACGAUCUUUUGAAAUGUUUGUCAUUGAUUGCAUGAACUUGGAAAUGAUAGAGGCAUUAGGUUUACCACCAUGGCCCAAAUAACCAUGUUUCCCAAAGAAAAAUGAUAUCAUUAGAUUGCCAAUUUGAGCCGUGUUUGUUGAACCUUUUAUUUCUUAUCACCAGAUAUGUCUACCCUUAUACCUGAAACUUUUUUUUCCUUACCCUUUCCAAGCGAGCAAUGCGAGAUUGUCUUAUGAGAAACGUUUGUGAAGUACUUUGAAGGUGUUUGGCAAAAGAAUAAGUGUGGGGGUAUUUCAUGUUUGUAUAAAAAAAAAAAGUAUAAAAAAAAAAGAGAGAAAAGAAAAAGAAAAAGAAAGAUUGUAUACGAAGAAAAGAAAAAAAUAAAAAAUAAAAAAUAAGAAGUUUUUAAAGUUUCAGUUUAUGGGUAGUGUUGGAGAUGUCAGAAGAAUCGUUGGAAAGCUUGAGUUCUUAUAAAUCUAAACAAAAGAAUUGCUUGCAAUGUAGCUUGGAAUUUGUGUUUUCCUAUUCUUUCGUUUCAAUAACCCUAUCCCUAAGCCUCAUUACAUCCAAUAAAAGUCCUCUUGAUUUAAGUUUUGCAAUUAUGACUGUGGAGAAGUGAUCUUUAUGCAAGCUUAUGGUAGAAAUUUCACAUUUGUUUCUUUGAGCGAAACACAUUAAAACUAAACACAUGUGUGAUUGAGUGCAUAUCCAGUGAGAAGGUCGCUAGUUUGCAUAUGAUGAUUUUAAAAAUAAAAACUUGAAAUUGCAUUAGCAUGGCUAUCUCACACACUACACUUCAAGGAUGAUUUAAAGAUUACUGCUAAUAUUUGAAUAAAGAAGUUGAACUUGGAUUAGUUUGUUUGUGUUAGCUAUGGUUCUUGAUGAUUUAUGUUCUCAAAUGAAAUUCUAUGAGGGUCACAUAGGGGGAAACUAAUGUUUUUCAUGUUAUUACUUUUUCAUGUUUUCUUUGUUUUGCUCGAGGACUAGCAAAAGCUAAGUGUGGGGGUAUUUGAUCGGAUCAUAUUUAUAUAUAUUUUUACUUCAAAUUCACUCGUCUUUUCUUAGUUAGUUCCUCAUAUUUUUGAGCUAUUUACGUUAUUUUUGUGUUUAUAUGAUUUGUUAUGCAAAGAAAAUAAAAAUAGCACAAAUGAGUUUUAAAUAAUAAACAGAAAAUUGUGGAACACGGGUGGACCACGAGAAAAAUAAUGGAGAGCAUAAAAUAUAUAUAUAUAUAUAUAAUAUAUAUACAUAUAAAUAGAUAUAGAUAUAUAAAUAAUAUAUUUAUAUAUCACAUAUAUAUCUAUAUAUAGAGGGAAUUGGAAGAAUGGUGUGUUAAUUAUAUUAUUAUAUGUAAUAUGUUAAGGUGGAAUGUGGUAGGUGGGCAGUGUGAACGUGGAGGGCAGCCUUGCUGCCAUAAAGAAUACAAGAGCAAUCCGAAUGGGAGAGGAAGUGGAAGGCAGCGUGGCUGCCAAAGAAAGAAAACAGAAAUAAAGGAAUAAAGGUGAGGAGCGCACAGAGAUAUAAGGGAGGUCAGCAACUUUGGGCAGGGGGAGAUAGGGCUGCCAUUUGCCAAAUGGCAGCAGGAAGAAGGUCAGCGUCAGAACACGCGGACAGAGCUGGCGUGAUUUGGAGAGAGACUUGCGAUAGGGGAAGAAAAAGCUAGAAGAAGCUGCCCUCUUGGCAGCUUGAAACCGAGCGUGUCAACAGCAGAGAAGGUGAGGACGGAGAGAAGUACAAAGCAAGGCUGCCAUUUGGCAGCUGAACCAAGAGGGACGCUGCCUUGCGCAGCCCGAGGCCAGAAGUCAGGAGGAGAGCUGCUUGGGCAGCUCGUGGAGAAGUCAGGAGAAAUAAGGUGCUGCCUUGGCAGCACGUGGCGCAGACUGGGGAACGAAGGAUUGAGAGAGGAAGGCUGCUGUGCAGUCUUGAGGACUGUCAGGCAGCUGGAGAGGUGAGGACCGAGAGACAGGGAGGUCAGAAAAAAGCACGUGGCGCGAGGCACGGACAGACAGCAAACUCCCUCAUUUUUCGAUUUAAUCUUUCCAAACUUCUCUUUUAUUUAUGUUUUAAUAAUGUGUAAAUAAACUUAUUUUGGCUAGAGGUUAAUUCAAAGCCAUGAAUAUAUUUGUAAUAUGAAUUGAUUACCUUCAGUUGUGAUUUCUGAGUUG
rnacentral:lncRNA from 1 species